CUGCACUAAGCUCGUGCUCCUGUAGUAAGAAUAGACAAUGCUGAUCUAAAUAUAACAUUAAUCAGUAAAUAAAGUAGCCAUAUGUCUAACAGGAUCUGUUAACAUGAUUUAUAUAACAAUAAAAUCUAAAUAUCUCAGCCAAAUGUCUUAUUGGUAAUGUAGCUCAAAUAUAUAAAUAUAACAGAGACAAGUUAGUGACCACUUAUUUUACAAUGUUUCAUCAAGGGAGUAACAAUAGGCAUAUAGAGAAUCCAAUGGUUAUCUUCAAAAUGGAAGAAAAAUAAAUAAAACCUCUCCUUAUUUAUGUUGUCCAGACUAGAAGCCCAGGGAAGCCUUGAUGAUAAAAAUCCAUUAGAUGUUUGACCCAUGGAAGAAGAAUUAAAAGGAGUUGCUUUCUCUGGAUGGUCAGUACAAUUGCUGCACCUGGCAUUUCCAUGUGUAUUAUCUACAACACUAACUGUGACCCCUUCAUGACUAGUCUUUGACACUUCACCAUGGAAUUGUCCAGCAGGUAUGCUUAAUAGGACUGCAUCAAUAUGUUGUUCCUCUGAAACAGAGACAUUAACUACACCUCAGACUUUUCACACAGGACUUCAUAGCAAUAAAAUUUUCUGGAAACUAGUAAAACAUACUAUGCCAGGCAUUUCUGCUGUCAUUAGCCUCAUUGAUUUGUGCAGCAUUCUCACAUUUUGGCGAUGAAAAGGUACUUGGAAUAUGUGGUAACUAGAUAUUGAAUCCAAGGAGACACCGUAUUCUUCGAACCAAUUAGAUAUGGUCCCUACCGAACACUAAAAAAUAGACUUACUCAACAUAGUCCCAUCAAGUUUCAUUUGCAUAGCAGUAGAAACUCCAUCCUGAUCAUUGUAUAGUGUAAGAAUAAAUAGCUUAUUCAUGUCAAUCCACAAAGUCACUAAUCAUGUCAAACAUUUAUGUCGGUUACUUAAAUAAAGAUAAAAAAAUAAGCAAGAUUAACUUCAAAGGUUCAUCAGGGCUAUUCAGCUUUAGAAACCAAAGUAGACACCUCUAGACAAUGACAGAGAGAAGGUGGAACCCAC
rnacentral:lncRNA from 1 species